rnacentral:rRNA from 1 species
AACGAACGCUGGCGGUGUGCUUAACACAUGCAAGUCGAACGAGAAAACCACUUCGGUGGCAAGUAAAGUGGCGCACGGGUGAGUAACGCGUAGAUAAUCUGCCCUUCAGCCUGGGACAACUUCUCGAAAGGGGAGCUAAUACCGGAUAAUACAUUUUGUCGAGUGUCAGAAUGUUGAAAGAUUUAUCACUGAAGGAUGAGUCUGCGUACCAUUAGCUUGUUGGUAAGGUAAAGGCUUACCAAGGCGACGAUGGUUAGCGGGUCUGAGAGGAUGAUCCGCCACACUGGAACUGAGACACGGUCCAG